rnacentral:lncRNA from 1 species
UUAGAGAGACUGCCCGCUUUUAGUUCAUUUUAACACAGUUUAACAUAAUAGGUGCUACUGGGCAUCUGUAAUGUCAAGGUUCUGGUCUACCUGCUGGAGAUACACAGAUAAAUAAGACACACAGCUGCCCUCAAGAAGCUGACAGUAUGUUGUAAAAGAGAGAAACAGACUCCUUUGAAGACACAUUACUUUACUGGAUACAAUAUUUAAUUCAAAAAGGAAAAUUGACAAAAAAGUUAAUUGGUCGAGAAUAGAUCCCAUGAUUUCUGCUUCCAUGAAUUCAGUCAACAGAUAUUAAUAUAUAGCAAACAAUCUCUGUGUGUCAGGCAGUAGGGUUGUAUCUGCACAUGAAUGGUUCCAUGAAGGAACUCACAGGGAAGACACACACCAGCUAAUGGCUAAUGAGCAGCCUCACUAUUAUUGUUUUAACACCUCCAGACCUCUUUAGGGCAUGGCUUUUUGGGAAAAAUCCCUGAACCUCAGGCUGUAGGUUGGGUAUGAAUCAUCUACGCUGUCUGGGAUCCUACAAAAAUCUCUUCACUGACAUUCACCAAUGUUACUGGUUUAGCAUCUGUGUCUACCACUGGAAGAUACAACUUUUAUAGCACACUGCUCUGAAUCUACAGCCCCUAUCACCAUACCUGAAAAUAUUUCGGUACUCAGUAAACAUGUGCUUGAGCCAAGAUGCAACUCUUGUUUCCAAAAAGACCAACUUAGCUUAGUUACUAGAGAAAUUUACCAUGAAGCCCUCUGCUUACAACCCUGUCUGCCUUGUUGUUUCAAGAAAAUUGUUUACUUUUGUGAGUAAUGGUAAUUUUGUCGAAUUACCAUAAGCUGUGGCUUAGCCACAGCUGUCUACAGAUGGGAGGCCUACCUAUUGGCAAGUAUUACAGAAUCUACACGACGUUGUUUCUCCUAGUAGGAGGCUUUUCCACGUUCAUGCAGAAAUAAAAGCAGUGGAAGUUCUAGAUUUAAAAAAAUUGUUAUUCCUUCAUUUGCUGUCUAUCUCCAGCCUUCAUGGCACCCCCAGAGCCCAGGAGGGGAAAAAAGCACUAUUAGGUAUGUCAGCACCUUGUGAAAAGGAGCACGAGAUGUAGGUAUUCGUCGGGAAUGCUGUCUGAGUUGUGUACGAGGGCUAAAUAAUGGGACUAAAUUUUGAGUAAGAAGAAAUGCGUUCUUACCCACCGGAUCAGGGUGACCUCUAAAUUAGCUGUGUUGCAGGUUAUCAUCUCCCUACUGUUUUAGAGGCUGAGAGUAGAAUCAGCUCAUGCAUUCUGCAUGACGCGAAGAUGGGGCUGAGCUGUCCCUUUGAACUCCGGGAAGCCACUUUGCUUCCUUAAUUUUGGUGGAGUGAAAAUUCAGUCUUCAUGAGGGCAUAAGGACUUGAAAGGGAAAAACGGAACCCCACUUUCUUACCUUCUCCAUCCAUAGUUCACACAGAUCAGGACAUGCUGAAGUUUGCUGUGUUCUACUUAAUAAAUGCUGAAGUUCUUAGUGCUUAUUAGUUAAAAUAAAUGUUACCUGAUGAAAUACAUACUUUCCUGCAUGUAUCAAUAAUGAUCUCAUGCGCUUGCCUUUUGCCUCAGCCGGUGGGGGGAAAGAGAGGUUAAGCCAUGAGCUCUGCCCUCACGGAGUCUUGGGAAUCCAAGGUCUUCCCCAUCUUUUCAGUUGACAACUGGGUUGAACUUUGCUGGGCUGGAUUCACAUCCCUGUGACAGAAAAUGUACUGAGAGCUGCAUCCUGGCCCAUGCCUUUCUUCACUGCCUUGGGACGAGUGUAGGAAGCCCAUAUCCUGCUUCCUGCCAUGGAGGUGCUCACAAUCGUUGUUGCCAAAUCUCGGAUCACCUUCAUCCUUAGGCGAUAGUGCUAUGUCCUCAGACCCAGGGACAGAGACCCAGGACAGGCCACCCUCAUUCCUCCAGGAGCAACUUCUGGGCAUCCUCUCACCACUCGUGCUUCCAGCAGGCCUUCGGGAAGGCGGCACUAUUCAAAAUGAGUUUUUCCUCGAAGUCCCAGCAGUUAUUGUGGGCUAGUUAUCGAGAGUGAUCCAGGCCUGGCUGUGGCAACCAAGGGAACCUUCUCCUGGCCUAUUAGUUUUCCGUAUAUGCAGGGCUUAGGCACACGGUAGGCAUCAGAUAGAUAUGUGUGAAUGACUAAACAAACAAAAAGCAAAAUGUAGUCAAGCGUUUUUAAUUCUGGCUUUAAAAAAUUCUUAUGUAAUUUUGAAAGUUCAAUGCCUAUUCUUUAAUGCUGAUGGAAUUCGACAAUUCAUUUUAUAAAGGCUUCUACUGAGUAAGGCUUUUAAUUACUGACAAUCCCACCUGGCUCUGUGUUGGCUAUGGAGCUGGCGAGAGGCUUUCCGUCUCUGCUAUUAACUCCCCAGGGCACCUGCUUGUUAGCCUUCCUGAAUAUUUCAGUGGCUGUGGUGCUGUGGAUGAUGAGGGCCUUGCCGAGAGCCAUGUUCUAAUAUUAAUCAGACUCUGGGUUUUCUGUGAGACUUGAACUGGGCCGCCUCUCUGGAUUCCUGUCGCUGUGCCCCGGGAGGAUGUGUGAUGGCACCCCCAGGGCUCUGCCAGGGGUCUUCAGCUUCCUCCGGCCUCUGCACUCCAUUUGUCACCUCUGCACUCCAUUUGUCACAGAGUCCCAGUGGUGGGCUGAUGGCACUGAGCUCAGCUUCUCCAGUUCUCCAGUUCUGCUGGGGAGGAAUUUGCAGCCCAAAUCUUGGUUGGAAGAUCAGGAGAUUCGAUUCACUUGUACUCUCUUCUACAGACAAUUAUGUGUCCAUGGGUGUGAUUUGAAUGCCACGUCUGACUUCAACGACCGAA